GAUGAAGAACGUAGCGAAAUGCGAUAAGUAAUGUGAAUUGCAGAAUUCAGUGAAUCAUCGAAUCUUUGAACGCACAUUGCGCCCGCCAGUAUUCUGGCGGGCAUGCCUGUUCGAGCGUCAUUACAACCCUCAGGCCCCCGGGCCUGGCGUUGGGGAUCGGCGGAGCCCCCCGUGGGCACACGCCGUCCCCCAAAUGCAGUGGCGGUCCCGCCGCAGCUUCCAUCGCGUAGUAGCUAACACCUCGCGACUGGAGAGCGGCGCGGCCACGCCGUAAAACACCCAACUUCUGAAUGUUGACCUCGAAUCAGGUAGGAAUACCCGCUGAACUUAAGCAUAUCAAUAAGCGGAGGA
rnacentral:misc_RNA from 1 species